ensembl:lncRNA
UCUUGAAACACCACUGCUCCGAGGUUCAGGUUCAUUUUGAGUGCUGACGAGUGGUGGUAACCCUGGCAACAGCUGCCGAUGUGCUGCCGUCUCUUCUCCCCUGCCCACUGACACCCGUCGCACCGUCUACCUCGAUGCAUUUUAUUCAAGUCGUAAAGUGUAGAAAUCUCCGCUGGAGUUGAGAAGACCAUGGGGGUCGCGGGGGGAGCUGGAAUCCAUCCCAGCCAAGAUCGGGCGAGAGACGGGGCCGUCAAUUGCAGGGCUGACACAUAUCCACACAUAUAUGCAUAUCUAUACACAUGUACAUAUGUAUAUAUACAUGCACAGGAAUAACUGAACUCUACGAGCCUGACUAUGAUUUCAGCACAUAGGUAUCAAUAAUUACAUGUAAGAGAUGUUAUGCUAAGGACAAUAUGUUUGAAUACAUUUUUAAAAAAGCUUUACAUAUGUGCUGUACAUUUGAGAAGGAAUAUUACAGGACCAAAUUCUGGAAGGAGGAAGACUCCUUGACAGAUAGGUGAAGGUUUUGGGUUUUGAAGUUAGAGCAGGGCAGCCAUCAGGGAAAGACUACAUGUAUAAUCCUAAUGAAAACCAAUCCCCUCCUCCCAGCAAAAGAGCAACGGGAAUUUCCUGAAACUGCCGUUAAUUCUGAUAUUCACUCCUCGUCCUAGGUGUCUUUUUUGUCAAAUUUCUAAGGAAAGCUUUUGGUUUGUGAUUUCCCCAUUCACAAAUAUGCAAGUUUAAGUACAAGCCAUGUCAUGUCUUAUUUCUGAUUAAUAAAUAGAUUAAUCAAUAAUAUAUGAGAGUUUGUGUCUUUUUCAGUAAUAACGAUUCAAACUUCAGGACCCAAUGUGCACGUGCUGGUUUAAGAACUGAUUUAAAUUGAUC